GAUGAACGCUAGCGGGAGGCCUAACACAUGCAAGCCGAGCGGUAGAGUUCCUUCGGGAACUUGAGAGCGGCGUACGGGUGCGUAACACGUGUGCAACCUACCUUUAUCUGGGGGAUAGCCUUUCGAAAGGAAGAUUAAUACCCCAUAAUAUAAUGAUUGGCAUCAAUUAUUAUUGAAAACUCCGGUGGAUAGAGAUGGGCACGCGCAAGAUUAGAUAGUUGGUGAGGUAACGGCUCACCAAGUCAAUGAUCUUUAGGGGUCCUGAGAGGGAGAUCCCCCACACUGGUACUGAGACACGGACCAGACUCCUACGGGAGGCAGCAGUGAGGAAUAGUGGACAAUGGGUGAAAGCCUGAUCCAGCCAUCCCGCGUGAAGGAUGACGGUCCUAUGGAUUGUAAACUUCUUUUGUACAGGGAUAAACCUACUCUCGUGAGGGUAGCUGAAGGUACUGUACGAAUAAGCACCGGCUAACUCCGUG
rnacentral:rRNA from 1 species